ACCUUCAUCACUAUCACCACGCAACGUCAUAUAGCUGUCAUUAUUAUCUAAUCACCAUCAUCAUCACUCCACCUCUAUCAUACUGCUAGCAUCUCUACUAUUAUCAUUACUGCUAUUAAUACAUCAUCACUGUGAUUACCACUAUCUCUGCGAUAUAACCGAUACUCCUGGCCACCACCAUCAAUGCCACUACUUCCACCGCACCACUAUAACUAUUACCAUCACCUUCACAUUAUUGCUGGUGUCCUUACCUCUACCGACCACCAUCAAUGCCACUACUUCCACCGCACCACUAUAACUAUUACCAUCACCUUCACAUUAUUGCUGGUGUCCUUACCUCUACCGCUACUGCCACCACUAUUAUCACCAUCUCUUAUCAUACCGUCAUCGCCUUCACACACCAACAUAAGUAAUACUUCCACCACCAACAUACCAUAGUCCGAUAUUGUCCGACUACCACCUUCCACUACCAUUGCAAGCAUUGCCAUCACCAUCACCCCCACCACCAUGGCUAUCUUUACCAUACAACUGUCAUCAUCAUUACUGCCUCUAUUAUAUUGCCACGCCUCCACCAUCAUCAUAUAUUGUAGUUAU
rnacentral:lncRNA from 1 species